UUGAAUGUCCUGUUGAAUUUGCUUGGCGGAAUUCCCAACAGAUUGUUGACAGUAACUUAUAUCAAUAAGAGCUAGUGUGGUUAUAUCUGCAAAAUCUCGAGGGAUUGAAUCCAAAUAAUAGCAACUUCUAAGAAAAAGUCGUUCAAGGUACGGAAAGUGAUCACUACUAGCUCUCCAGUACCGAAUGCAUACUUCAUGCAGAAACAAGAACUUCAAGUGAGGAAACCCUUCCUCAACUACUUCCCACUCCUCGCCUAUGAAGGAUUUCCAUGAUAGUUUAAGGACCUCGAGUUUGGGUAAUUUACCAACAAUGCUCAAAUCCUUCCAUGCCAAAAAGAAUUCUCCGCUAAAAGUUAAACUCUUAAGGUUUUGUGGAAAAGCAUCCGGAGGAGGUAAGCGUAAAGUUGAAACAUCAGUUGGAGGUGCAGUUGCCCUGAAAGGUAAGAGUAAACUUGUAUAAAGUUGAACAACUAGCCACAUGAGUCCUACAUGACACAAUACACAUAAGACACCAACUAUUUCCAUCACAUUUCCAGCUAGGUCCACUAACAGGAUAAAGUAGAAAGAUGUGAGGUCACUAACCUUAUCAUCAUGUAGACAAAAGAAGAGACCAAAGUUAAAAAAAAAAAAGACAGGAAAAAGUAGAAAAAUUUGUGAUCAUACAUUAUUAGACCCUACACUAAUCUCUUUAGAAAAAUAAGUUUCAAUAAAGGAGUUCAAGCUGUAUAUUGAUAACGUCCAAUUCAAAUUCAAGUGUAGUACGGUCUAGCAAUAAUAAACUCAACAAAAGUUGGGGUCGAGGAGUACACUUGUGUCAAGGUGACAGAGAGUGUUCUGGCCUAUACAGUAUGUAUGUAUGUACAUAAAAUUUGGAGUAUCUAAAGAACCACUGACAAAUGGCUAUACGAAAGAUCAUAUACAAUUAAAUUACAAGCCAUUUGCAAUCAUCCUGCCACCUUAUGCAGAAAAAAUGAAAAUUCUGAUUUGACAUUUAUUUCAGAGAACUGGCUAGUCCUCAGAACACCUUAACUACUCGCUGCAGAGAAAAAAAAAAGACACAAAAAAUGGAAAAUAAUAUGUUAGAUGUCCCAUAAUUAAGGAACAAGAGAACAUUAUAGCAAGAAUGAGCAUGCAGGUAUAAGAACUUACACAUUAUUGCGGCAAGAAGCAACUUCUUUCUCAAAGUCAUCUUCAUCUGUUGUUAUAUCGAAAAUGCUUUCUACAAAAGAUGAAAAAUGAAAUGUUACACUUCCCAAAAUCAAGAAUGAACAUGCAAGUAUAACAAGUUACACAAUAUUGGAAGGAUUCAAAUCAAACACAAUGACAGCAUCAAGAACUUUUGUUGAAUUGGUGCAAUUGGACUUACUAAAGCUAUUAUCCAGAUUAUUAUCGAGUUUACUAUGAUGAUGAGUUAAAUAUUGUUGUAAAUCAAGGAAGAAGAUGUCUUACAAAAGAUGACGAGUAUGGACCUCGAUAGAGCUUCCAUAGUUGUCUUGAAUGUCCUGUUGAAUUUGCUUGGCGGAUUUCCCAACAGAUUGUCGACAGCUACUUAUAUCAAUAAGAGCUAGUGUGGUUAUAUCUGCAAAAUCUGGAGGGAUUGAAUCCAAAUCAUAGCAAUUUCUAAGAAAAAGUCGUUCAAGGUACGGAAAGUGAUCACUACUAGCUCUCCAGUACCGAAUGUAUAUGUUAUCCAGAAACAAGAACUUCAAGUGAGGAAACCCUUCCUCAACUACUUCCCACUCCUCGCCUAUGACGGCAUUGUCUGAUAGUUUAAGGACCUCGAGUUCGGGUAAUUUACCAACAAUGCUCAAAUCCUUCGAUGCCAAAAAGAAUUCUCCGCUAAAAGUUAAACUCUUAAG
rnacentral:lncRNA from 1 species